UACGGGAAAGGGCCGAACCAAGUGAAUCAAAGUACGUCUUCCGCCGCGAUCGGGAAACCCUAAUCCUUCGACGCUUUAUGCAAAAGGGCCUGUCGAUCUCCAAUUCGCCGUUCUCUCCAAUCCAUUGAGGGGAUUGUUAUGGCAACGGAAUCGGCUUCGGCUUCGAGCUCGAAUCCCUCGUCGUCGUCCCUGUACUCCUACCCGGCCACCACCUACUUCCCUCUCCCGUUUCAUCUCCAGAACACCGACCCUGCGGCUCAGCAGCAGUAUCUCCCGCCGUCCCAGAUCCCACCGCCCGUUAAGAUCCCCACGAUGGCGCAGACGUUCCCCGUUCCGGCCCCCGUCGUCGCCGGGAUGUAUUCGCUUCCGCAGUUCCAGCAGGCACAACAACUUUUUCAACGGGAUGCACAAACCAUCACUCCAGAGGCUAUAGAGGUUGUGAAAGCUGCACUUGCAAAUAGUGAAGUUGACCAUAAAUCAGACACAAAAAAGAAAGCAAUACCACGUAAAGCAGCUGGUCAGAGUUGGGAGGAUCCAACUUUGGCAGAAUGGCCAGAGAAUGAUUUUCGAUUAUUUUGUGGAGAUCUAGGCAACGAAGUCAAUGAUGAUGUCCUCUCAAAAGCAUUUUCAAGGUUCCCCUCCUUCAACAUGGCAAGAGUGAUAAGAGACAAGAGAACUGGAAAAACCAAAGGUUAUGGAUUUGUCAGCUUUUCAAACCCAUCAGACCUUGCAGCAGCUGUCAAAGAAAUGAAUGGAAAAUACGUUGGAAAUCGUCCUAUAAAGUUGCGUAAAAGCACAUGGAGGGAAAGAACAGAUGUUGAAGCUUUGGAAAGGCAAAAGAAUUACAUUCAGAAGAAACCAAAACUACCAAAGAAAGGUAUUCUGCACAAGUGAAGCUUCAAGAUCACAACCUUGACUUACGCAUGAAAACUUGUUUUCGCAAUUAAUUCUAGAGAAUAUACAACUGAACUCAUCUAGAGUGCAAUUUGUGGUGAAUGACGUGCUACAAAAUUUAUGGGUGCUUUUGUAACAUCGAGAAGCAACGUCAACUAUUUACCUUCUUGAUAAAGAGUGGAUGGGAUGUUGGUCUUUAUGGUUGUUGAAUGCAAUGGCAGCUGGGCAUCAAUUAGACUGCUACCACAAGCGCUUGUGGAUGUCGGUAUUAUAUCGGUUCGGUUAAUUACGUUUCCAUUUGCGGUGUGGAUCGACUGGUACGUACGGUGGUAGCUGGUCAAUGUUUUUGACUGAUCGAAAGGUGACACGCGGAAUCGCAGAUGAUAAAAUCAAUCGAUCAGGAUUUUUGGACUAUAAUAUGGCUGUCCCUCGCACCACUCAGUAAUUGUCACGAUCGGGUGUGUUCGGAUGAUUAACUUAAUUGAUUUUUUUUAAUCUGAACCGUAAUAUAAAAUAAAAGUUUUAAAUCAACAAUAAUAUAUCCUUAUAAAUUGAUUAUUUUAUUUAA